CCUGGUGUCAUGGAUGGAGUUUUACUGUACUUCCAAAAUGAAUGGUAUCUACGGGAGGAUUGCAGAUGCUGAAUUGGAGCAACGCAUUAAUAAAGACAUCUGAUGAAACUUCUCAAGAGCUUUCUGACUCAAAUGUUGUCCCAGCUGUUCCCAAUCACCCACAAGGACUUGCACUCUAAUCCUGCAUUUGCCUGGCCCACGUUGAACAUGUCUGGGAGGCAGGGAAGAAUAUAGACAACGAUUGCACUCCAGUGACACAACCCUGUGCGCAAAAGGUGGGCUGCACCAACCAACUCCAUCUGGGAAUAAUGGCAUCUGUCCCAUUAAAGGCAUUCACCUGCUGCCUCCAAUAAGAGAAACUAUAUUCAUCUGAAGGACUUAAAGUCACAACCCUUCCCAGUAGGAGGUACACUUUGCAUUCCUCCACAGCAAGAGUUCAGACCUCUCUAUUAAUAAAUAAUUUGGAGAAAGAGCCAGUGCUAUUUUGGGGGAGACUGGGAAAAAAUAGUCUUAUCUGGAUUUCUGUUUAAGAGGACCCGCUAAGGUAA
rnacentral:lncRNA from 11 species